ACUGUGAUGGCCGAGUGGUUAAGGUGUUGGCUUUAAAAUCUAAUAGGGUUUCCUUGCGCAGGUUCGAAUCCUGCUCACAGCG